rnacentral:lncRNA from 1 species
AAAACAUGACUUGAGGCAAGUCUAUCACAUAAGGCAAGUUGUUAAUGAGUAGUUGCAGAAAUGAACAAGAGUAUGGUGAUGUAUGCCCGUACAGCUAAAGCCCAAUACUUGAGAGGCUCAGGCAGGAGAAGGAUCAAGGGCAACACAGUGAGACUCUGCCUCUAAACAAAUGCACUGAAACACCACAUUAUAGAAGCAAAACAGGAGACUGGAAUUUGGGGAAUGUUGAUUUUUCAACCAUAGCACCUAUUAGACAAUCAGAGAUCCUGCCUACGAGGACGCCUCACAGGACUCAAGGAUCUAUACAAGCUUCCGAAGCCUUUCCCCACCACCCUACUAUACAUCUCUGCUCCAUUCCCUCUCCUGUGUGCUAAAAGAUGCUAUUCGUGUCCUUGUGAUGCUGAAUGACUGUGUACACAUGCAGGAUGUGUGUCUACAAUGUCAAAGUUAGUUAAAAACAAUAAUGAAGUAAACACAUUCCCUCAAACCAAAAAAACAAAAACAAAAACAAAAAAAACCAAAUAGUACCUUAUAAAUGACUAUAGAAUAAACAAAAUUUUAAAACCCACGAAAACUUAGUUGCAGGCAAGGCAAAUCAACAAACAUCCAGAUGUACUAGGAAUGUACCAAGUAGUUAUGCCCUUCAGAAUAUAAGAUAAAGCAAAGAUAUUUUUAAAUGUCGAGUUUUCCUUGUUCAUGGGGACCCAUUUUUAAUUUGUAUCUACAAGAUUAGAUGUACAAAGCAGCUCUCUUCCAAAGCUAGAACCGGCAUAGGUGUCCAUUAGCAAGUAGUAGCUAUAGAAUACUGCUCCAUUCAUGAGGAAAAUCUACUCCUAAUUAAAAUAGGGAGUAUGUGUCUCUCACAAACACCCUUGGGGGUAAAAGAAAACUUUGCACGAAAUAUGACACGCUGCGUGAUGUGAUUGUGUGGGGCUCUGAAACACACAAAAGUAACCUGUGCUUUAAAGGAGCAUUAUAGUCAUUGUCUUUGGGAGACAGAAGCCUGAUUCCAUGCAAAAGGGCUAGAGGUCACUUUCCGAGUCACUACUGAGUGUGCUAGAUGGUCACUGAGGUACACAGCUUCUCCAGAAUUCAGGCAAACGUAUGCUCACACCACAUGUACUUUGCCUUAUGUAGUGGUUCUCAACCUGUGGGUCAUGAAUCAUGUUAUGAUUCAAAAUAAUAGAG